rnacentral:rRNA from 1 species
UAAGGUAGGGUCAGCGAUUGGGGUGAAGUCGUAACAAGGUAGCCGUAGGAGAACCUGCGGCUGGAUCACCUCCUUUCUAUGGA